rnacentral:rRNA from 1 species
UACUCGAGUGGCGAACGGGUGAGUAACACGUGGGUGAUCGGCCCUGCACUUCGGGAUAAGCCUGGGAAACUGGGUCUAAUACCGGAUAGGAGCCAUUUUUAGUGUGAUGGUUGGAAAGUUUUUUCGGUGUAGGAUGAGCUCGCGGCCUAUCAGCUUGUUGGUGGGGUAAUGGCCUACCAAGGCGGCGACGGGUAGCCGGCCUGAGAGGGUGGACGGCCACAUUGGGACUGAGAUACGGCCCAG